UUGAGAUUUAUUUUUGAUUCGAAAACUGCUCUUUGUUUCUGGAAACCAUUCUUGUUCUGCCUUUGUCGCUGCCUCGGAUGGAGGGUGUUUACCAUAAACGAACCUUUAAUAUGUAUUGCUAACUAGAAUUUGUGUAGACGUCUCUACUGACCAUUAGCUACAUCGAUAUGAACCAUAUUGCACCACAUACAGCUCCAAAAGAAUCCAGAAAAACCUCAGCAGCCUAAAGACGGAGGUUGUGCAUUACUUUGUACGAUGAGAAAAAGCUAUUUUGCAGUGAAAAGGCUAUUGAGUGGUUUUCAUGAAACCUCAGCAAACAGCACUCAGCAUGAGGGUCAGAGAAAGCUCACUGCAUCCUUAGGAGAGGUCAAAUUGCUGUGUUGUCCAACUGUGAACCGUGUUUUGUCAAACCUCAAAGAGAUAAGUGAAGCAGAACCUCAGGUGCACACACAAACAUGCCUCACAUCACGAACACACAAGCCUAAAUGCUCCAAGAUCUGCACUUUCCACAAACCACUGGCCCGCUCCCAUGUUUCACGAAACCAGUUUAGGCGUUUGAGGCGAAGAAAAGAAGUUGGGAGAGAGAAUGAGUGGCUGAGCUGCUUCCAGAACAUUAGACAGAAGAAUAUCUCACGUGCCAAUGUGACCACAACGUGUCAGAAGUUUAUACUUGCUAUUUAAACGACAGACGACCUCAGAUAUUUGGCGCACUUCAUGAAAAUGAGCAAAAACAACUGCAUAAAAUCGAUAAGCAAUUGAGCUCAAAACAUAACACAUGCUUAAAAUAAUAUUUUCUCGAAUGUCAUAUCGUUCUUAAGUAACAAAAAGCUACAGUAGUUUCGAAACAAUCAGCAGCCCACAAUUCAUUUCGGUCAAGCUUUGGACGGAAAGAAUAACAGCACCAGGUCUCUUCUGGACACUAAAUUAUCCAGUUUAACCUCCUUUAUAUUCUUUAAUUUGUACAUGUUCACUGCCCUCUUUAUUAUUCACAUCCAACUGAGGUGGUUUUCACACUGGGCAAGUUUGCUGUGGUCCAAAUCUGAGUGCACUGGUGCGCAGGAAGGCACAUCACCUCUUGCGUGUCCCAAAACGUUCCCCUGUCACUUACGGUGUUGUGGAAGCUAGUGAUGGCAUCAUCAGCUAACGUUACUUUACUUCCUGAACAAGUGCAGACUCGAGUUGUGUUCACAUUCAGGGGAUUCGUGGCAUAGUUCCAGUGCACCUGAACUCACACCACCCCCUACAGUUGGUACACCACCCAUUACAGUCGGUCUGUUUCAGACUAAACUGCCAGCGUGAAAACCCUCCGAGUUCCAAAACGUUAAAUUCUUUUGUGUCUUUCUGUUUAAUUGGAUUUCAUUUGAUUGGAAUUCAUUUAAGGCCAAGAAACUUGAUGAUAUCAGUCUAUUGCCAUGUUUUACAAGGGCUGUGAAUUGUUCAUUUUUCACUUAUAUCCAGCUCAACUAGUUUGAAAACAUUCUGAUAGUAUUGCUGGGCAAAGAUUUUGAUUGUGAGCUUAUCCCACAUCAGCAAGUCGCUCAGGUGUGAGUUUCUUACAGCAAAGGUUCUACUAGUGGUAUUAUAACUUUUCAACCUAAAGAUUCACGACAAGAUAAAACAAACAGCACUUUACUUACUUCAUCUCAUUUUUACAGUUCUUUAGCACCCAAACCAGUAUAGAUGUAGACUAGUUUAUUAAAAGCUUCACUCGUUCCCAGGAACAGUAUUAUCUCCAUCACAUAUAUCCAUGAGUAAAACAUGACUGAAUAAUGAUGAAUUUUAGGAGUAUAUGUGAAUAUGUAUGCUUCUGUAUACACCCAUGCACCAUCUCUAAUCCUAUACAGUGCUCUGUUUUACAAAUGUCUGUUCUUGACUGCUGGGAUUUUCUCUCAGGUACAUCAGAUACCCGAAUCAGUAGCUGUACUGUGCUCGAGGCUAUGUUAGCACAAUCUUCCUGGGAAUAAUGGCUUAAUGUGCCCCCACAUUUGCAUUGAGUGGGAAAAGCACUCACCUAAAUCAGCAGUGCUGUAUGCUUGCUCCAAUGCCUGUGGGGCACCAUCAGUUUUUAUCUGUCCGAGUCAGGACACCACUAUCUGUAUAAUCCUGUCCGCACUCUCCCUCACGGUCGCAAGCGACUACGUUGAAGUGCACAUGUUUGGCAUUGUAGCCUGCCUGCUGGCUUUUAUAUCCAACUGUGCUUAUUUGUCACUUAUUUAUUAUGUGCAGAGUGGAUUUCUCAGCGAGCUGAUUCUGUGGUUUGUGCUUGUAAAACAUGUAACUGAAACCUAGCAAAAAAAAAAACAAAAAAAAAAAAACGUGACAGGCUUAUUCGAUUAGCAGGAGCCGUAAGCAUAACCGGAGCUGUUAGAAAACUGAGCCGUUUGACAUUUCCUCUUUGUCCUGUCAGUUCUUAUUCAGUAAACUCUGUAAGCAAGGUGCAUGGUUUUAUAUACAAAACCAAGCUACAAGCAAUGAAUACAAGUUUGCAAGCGUAUAAAGCGUAAAUCCUUCUGUACUAUAUAUUUGUACCAAAUAAAGAAAUUAGCAUGUGUCUAGCAAAA